rnacentral:rRNA from 1 species
AACGAACGCUGGCGGCAUGCCUAACACAUGCAAGUCGAACGAGACCUUCGGGUCUAGUGGCGCACGGGUGCGUAACGCGUGGGAAUCUGCCCAAAGGUUCGGAAUAACUCGGGGAAACCCGUGCUAAUACCGGAUAAUGUCUUCGGACCAAAGAUUUAUUGCCUUUGGAUGAGCCCGCGUCGGAUUAGCUAGUUGGUGAGAUAAAAGCUCACCAAGGCGACGAUCCGUAGCUGGUCUGAGAGGAUGAUCAGCCACACUGGGACUGAGACACGGCCCAGACUCCUACGGGAGGCAGCAGUGGGGAAUAUUGGACAAUGGGCGAAAGCCUGAUCCAGCAAUGCCGCGUGAGUGAUGAAGGCCUUAGGGUUGUAAAGCUCUUUUACCCGGGAUGAUAAUGACAGUACCGGGAGAAUAAGCUCCGGCUAACUCCGUGCCAGCCGCCGCCGUAAGAC